UGGGGAAUAUUACACAAUGGGCGCAAGCCUGAUGCAGCCAUGCCGCGUGUGUGAAGAAGGCCUUCGGGUUGUAAAGCACUUUCAGCGGGGAGGAAGGCGUUAAGGUUAAUAACCUUGGCGAUUGACGUUACCCGCAGAAGAAGCACCGGCUAACUCCGUGCCAGCAGCCGCGGUAAUACGGAGGGUGCAAGCGUUAAUCGGAAUUACUGGGCGUAAAGCGCACGCAGGCGGUCUGUCAAGUCGGAUGUGAAAUCCCCGGGCUCAACCUGGGAACUGCAUUCGAAACUGGCAGGCUAGAGUCUUGUAGAGGGGGGUAGAAUUCCAGGUGUAGCGGUGAAAUGCGUAGAGAUCUGGAGGAAUACCGGUGGCGAAGGCGGCCCCCUGGACAAAGACUGACGCUCAGGUGCGAAAGCGUGGGGAGCAAACAGG
rnacentral:rRNA from 1 species